rnacentral:lncRNA from 1 species
GAAUCUUAAAGUUGGUGUUCGAUCGAAAGAACAAAAUGAAGUCAGUUCAAGACCGAUACUGAGAGAUCGAACUGAUGGGGUAUGAGAGCGGUUGGUGGCCGUCUAUGAUGAUACCAGAAUUGCUGGGGAGAGAGAUGUUGAUUGUUCCUCCAUGAAAAAUACUUGGUGAAUGAGACAGUUAUGGACUCGACAGUGUAAUGCGACGAAGGAGGAGGUAGAUUCACAUGGGGCAAUCUGGGAAGCUAAUAAUUAUUCAAGUUCCAGAGAACUCGUCGUAAAAGACUUGAGCCAAUAUUUUAUGGUAGCUUUGCUCAAA